rnacentral:rRNA from 1 species
GUCAGAUGUGAAAGACCCGGGGCGUCAACCUCGGAAUAGCAUUUGAAACUAGGCAGACUAGAGUACUGUAGAGGGGGGUAGGAAUUUCAGGUGUAGCGGUGAAAUGCGUAGAGAUCUGAAGGAAUACCGGUGGCGAAGGCGGCCCCCUCGGACAGAUACUGACACUCAGAUGCGAAAGCGUGGGGAGCAAACAGGAUUAGAUACCCUGGUAG